rnacentral:rRNA from 1 species
AACGCUAGCUACAGGCUUAACACAUGCAAGUCGAGGGGCAGCAUGGUCUUAGCUUGCUAAGGCUGAUGGCGACCGGCGCACGGGUGAGUAACACGUAUCCAACCUGCCGUCUACUCUUGGCCAGCCUUCUGAAAGGAAGAUUAAUCCAGGAUGGGAUCAUGAGUUCACAUGUCCGCAUGAUUAAAGGUAUUUUCCGGUAGACGAUGGGGAUGCGUUCCAUUAGAUAGUAGGCGGGGUAACGGCCCACCUAGUCAACGAUGGAUAGGGGUUCUGAGAGGAAGGUCCCCCACAUUGGAACUGAGACACGGUCCAAACUCCUACGGGAGGCAGCAGUGAGGAAUAUUGGUCAAUGGGCGAUGGCCUGAACCAGCCAAGUAGCGUGAAGGAUGACUGCCCUAUGGGUUGUAAACUUCUUUUAUAAAGGAAUAAAGUCGGGUAUGCAUACCCGUUUGCAUGUACUUUAUGAAUAAGGAUCGGCUAACUCCGUGCCAGCAGCCGCGGUAAUACGGAGGAUCCGAGCGUUAUCCGGAUUUAUUGGGUUUAAAGGGAGCGUAGAUGGAUGUUUAAGUCAGUUGUGAAAGUUUGCGGCUCAACCGUAAAAUUGCAGUUGAUACUGGAUGUCUUGAGAGCAGUUGAGGCAGGCGGAAUUCGUGGUGUAGCGGUGAAAUGCUUAGAUAUCACGAAGAACUCCGAUUG